rnacentral:rRNA from 1 species
UAAACUAGGAUUAGAUACCCUAUUAUUGGAACUGUAAAAUCUUAUGCCUGAUUAAUAGUAGUUUAUUUUCUUGAAAAUUAAAUAAUUUGGCGGUAUUUUAGUCUAUUCAGAGGAACCUGUCCUGUAAUUGAUAGUCCACGAUUUGUUCAACUCUUUCUUUUAGUUUGUAUAUCGUCGUGUUUGAAUAUUUUAUAAGAAUUUAAAUGUUCAGAUAGUUUAAUUAAAGUUAAUGUCAGAUCAAGGUGCAGCUUAUGGAGGAGAAGGAGAUGGGUUACGAUAAAUAAAUUUCUGGUUUAAUCUUUUAAAUAGGAUUAAUAAAUUGGAUUUGAUAGUAAUAUUGUUUAGAUAUUCAAUGUGAUUGUGGCUCUAAAAUAUGCACAUAUUGCCCGUCGCUCUCAUUAAGGUGAGAUAAGUCGUAACAUAGUAGAUGUACUGGAAAGUGUAUCUAGAAAGAACAAGUUAUAGCUUAAUAGAAAGUUUUUUAUUUACAUUAAAAAGUUCAUUGUGCAAUUCAAUGUGAUGAUUCUUAUAGGAUUAUUUAUUUGUUUAAUAAAAAUAUCUUGGUUUUUAGUAUUUAAUAUGAACAAAUUUAGUUAAUUAUAGUUUAAUAGUAAAGUGAUUGAAUUUUGAAAUAAAUUUUAAGAUUUUUAAAGAAGAAUUUAUUUUUUGUACCUUGUGUAUCAGGGUUGAUUAAUUAAAAAUCUUUUAUUUAGAUUUUCCCGAAUUGGAAAGAGCUAAUUAAUUAUUUUUUGAAUUGUAAAAUAAAUUUUAUUAAUAGUUAGUUAGAAAUGAAACGUUAUUCGUUUUCUGAUAUAUCUGGUUUUUUGAGAAAAGAAUUAAAUUCUAUUGKUUAUUAUAUUUUUGUUCAAUUUGAAUUUAAAUAUGUAUUCAUUAAAUAUUAAGGGGGAUGAGCUUCUUAUUUUAUUUCUAAAAAGUUAAUUUUUUGUUAGUAAGUAUAAUUAAAAUUGUUAAUCUUUAGAAUAAUUUUACAAUUGACUUUCAUUUUAUAAAUUAUUUCUAUUUGGUUUAGAUUGUAUAUCAAAAUUUUUUCUUUAAUUUUUAAAGUAAACUGAUAAUGAUUAAAUUAGUAAAAAUUUCUUUAGUUUGUUAGUUUAAAUUAAGGUUUCAUAAAGGAACUCGGCAAAGAUUAUUUUCCGCCUGUUUAUUAAAAACAUGUCCUUUUGAUUAUUAUUUAAGGUCUAAUCUGCUCAAUGAGGAGUUAAAUUGCCGCGGUAUUUUGACCGUGCGAAGGUAGCAUAAUCAUUAGUUUUUUUAUUGAAAGCUGGAAUGAAUGAUUGGACGAGAAAAUAGCUGUCUCUGUGAAAUUUGUUUUUGAAUUUAAUUUUUAAGUAAAAAAGCUUAAAUGUUUUUAAAAGACGAGAAGACCCUAUAGAGUUUAACAUUAAAAAUUGUAAGGAGUUGUUGGUAUCUAUUUUCUUUAUAAAAUUUAUUGUUUAGUUGGGGUGACUAGAAGAUUAAAUAAACUCUUCUAAUAUAUUGAUACUGAUUAGUAAUUAUAAAAUCUGAAUUUUUCAAAUUUAAUAUAAAUUACCUUAGGGAUAACAGCGUAAUUUCUCUUUAGAGUUCUUAUUGGAAGGGGAGUUUGCGACCUCGAUGUUGGAUUAAAAUUAAUGUUGGGUGCAGUAGCUCAAUUAUUAGGUCUGUUCGACCUUUAAAAUUUUACAUGAUCUGAGUUCAAACCGGAGAU